AUACGUAGGGGGCGAGCGUUGUCCGGAAUUAUUGGGCGUAAAGGGUGCGUAGGCGGCCUUUCAAGUUGGAUGUGAAAUCCCCGUGCUUAACAUGGGAGUUGCAUUCAAAACUGGAGGGCUUGAGUGUGGAAGAGGUAAGUGGAAUUCCCAGUGUAGCGGUGAAAUGCGUAGAUAUUGGGAGGAACACCAGUGGCGAAGGCGACUUACUGGGCCACAACUGACGCUGAUGCACGAAAGCGUGGGGAGCAAACAGGAUUAGAUACCCUGGUAGUCCACGCUGUAAACGAUGGAUACUAGGUGUAGGGGGUAACACCCCCCCUGUGCCGCAGCUAACGCAAUAAGUAUCCCGCCUGGGGAGUACGGUCGCAAGAUUGAA
rnacentral:rRNA from 1 species